AUUGAACGCUGGCGGCAGGCCUAACACAUGCAAGUCGAACGAGUGGCGGACGGGUGAGUAAUGUCUGGGAAACUGCCUGAUGGAGGGGGAUAACUACUGGAAACGGUAGCUAAUACCGCAUACCAUCAGAUGUGCCCAGAUGGGAUUAGCUUGUUGGUGGGGUAACGGCUCACCAGGGCGACGAUACCUAGCUGGUCUAAGAGGAUGACCGGACAAUCUGGAACGGAGAAACGGUCAAGACUACUACGGGAGGCAGCAGUGGGGAAUAUUGAAAAAUGGGCGCAAGCCUGAUGCAGCCAUGCCGCUUGUAUGAAGAAGGCCUUCGGGUUAAAAAGUACUUUCAGAGGGGAGGCGUUACCCGCAGAGGAAGCACCGGCUAACUCCGUGCCAGCAGCCGCGGUAAUUC
rnacentral:rRNA from 1 species